CCGAAGGAAGUUAUGAAAGGGAGAAUAUGGACGAUGAUUUCAGGACUUGCUGCUAUCGAAUACAGAUCGCCCCGUGAUCAAUUUGAUCGAUUAUUAACGUUCAUUAAUACCUAAAGUUGGUUUACAAAGGUAGUUUGAAGUGUUGUGUCAAAGUUUAUAGGCAACUUUUUUAAUUUAAAAAAAUACCGUUGCGUUUUAGAAAGGUGCUUUUUCCUGGAUCAGACGGGCUUCAUAAAUGGACAUUUUGGGUAUACAUGGACGGAUUUAAUCGAAAAAAGGACCCAAUUGUGAUGUUUAUGGGACAUAUAGGAGUGCCAACAAAGAAGCUCGUCAAAGCUGCAGCCGGCUGUCACCUCACCCUACAACAGCCACUCUGCCCUGCCCUAUUCGGCUUGUCAUCUCUCCCGUCGCCUUCUUCAUCGCUCCCGAGAGAACCCGUGGAGAUGACCGGACCAAGGUGCAGCAUGUUGCAAUCAACACCCAUACCCCCACACUACAACCCUCCAACCCUCCUCCUGUUGCUGCCCAAGAACUGUCUGAUACAGUUGCCCCCCAGGAGACCAGCUGCAACCUCAUCCUCACGCAGGUUGAACC
ensembl:lncRNA